rnacentral:lncRNA from 1 species
AUCAAUCAACAAGAACACCAACCUCACUACAACACUUGUAUGCUUGUAAUAAUUAUUUGUUACUGUUUUGUUCAACAAAAGUCCUCUGAACACGUCGCAAGAGCUCAAAGACUACCUAGAAAUCAUGUACGUCAGUGCAGCUCAAUUCGACAAUCCUCCAAAUUAUCCAGUAGAGAGAACCUGCAGCGGAAUUGAUGGAGCCCCAGUAAGGAACUGAUAUUCUUGGAAGAAUUGCUGCAGGUCUCAAAAGUAGAUUUCGUGGAUUGGUUUCAUGCUAUGAUGUAUUCACAUUUGAGCUAAGCAACACGAGUGCAUGGGAUUGGCAGGUUAAUUUAUACUUCUAAAACAAGUAUAAAUUCACUCCAUUUCUUGAAGACUGUUAAUAGUUUUCUUCUUCUGCUUCUUUCAGACAUGUACUCAGAUUGUAAUGCCAAUCGGAUAUGGUUAUAAUGAGACAAUGUUCGAAGCAGAACCUUUUGAUAUAAAGAACUAUACCAAAGACUGUCUAGAUGUUUUUGGUAUCGUGCCUAGGCCUCAUUGGAUGACAACAGAAUUCGGUGGCCAUGUAAGCUUAUGCUACUUCUUUCUUCUUCUUCUUCUUCUUCUUCGAACUCCAGAAAAUCAGAACAUAACAGUGCUUGUAAUGAAAAUCUUUCAGGACAUAAAAACUGUACUGGGAAAUUUUGCAAGCAACAUCAUUUUCUCCAAUGGACUUCAAGACCCCUAUAGCAUUGGAGGGUAAAGAAACAGAUUUCUAAUCCUUUGUUGCAAGUUUUAUACUUUCAUUAAUAUUGAGAGUGCUAAUUCAUUCUUCCUUCUUUGAAAAAUCAACUGCAGAGUUCUAAAAGGCAUAUCAGAUAGUGUUGUUGCAGUGUAUACAGAACUCGGUAUUUUCUGUUCUCCUAGGAAUAUUGUCUGAAUUUCAAAGCUAUUUAUGCAAGAUUUUGAUUGACAGUUUCUGAUGGUAAACAGGAGCCCAUUGCUUGGACCUAUAUCCUCCAGCUCCAGAUGAUCCUGUCUGGUUGGUUGCACAGCGAGAUAAGGAGAUUAAAAUGAUUUCAGCUUGGAUUGCCGAGUAUUAUGCCAAGCUUGGCACCAAAUAAAGCAUUGGUUAAAGAAUUCUGCAUUUAAUAUACAUGUCUUAAGGCCAAAUUGUUCUCAGUGUAAUAACAAACUUGACAGAGAUCCUCUUGUUUGAUAUUUUAAUUAUUGCAUAUAAAAUCCAUAAAAUCAACCAAAGUCAAAGUUAAGAUAAAUUUCUGACUUGUUCAUGUAAGGACUUUUCAGUAACGUUCUUGUUUGAAAUGAAGGUUUUCUAAGCAAAAUACAGUUUUCUGGUUCUUGUCGUUUGGAUGUUCGAAAACAUCUGAAAAAGAAACCCCCCACCUUUUUUUUCCCCCCUUUUUCAAAUCCAUUCUCUUUCCAAUAUAUUUGGACUAUAUUGAUUUUUUAAUAAUAUUUUAAAGAUAAAUUUAAAUAAAAAAAUAAAAUUUAAUAUUUUUUAUCCAUAUUGUAUGACUUAGAGACAAUUUUAAUCAUUUUGUUGUUUUGUUAUAAUAUAUAUAUAUAUAUAUAUAUAUAUAUAUAUAUAUAUAUAUAUAUAUUUAUUUAUUUAUUUAUUUAUUAAAGUUCAUUUAAUAUUCAUUAGAUAUAAAAAAUACUCUCUUCAUCCUAUUUAAUUUUAUUUUAUUUCUAAAAAAAUAUCUCAUUAAUUAUUAUUUUUCUAAAUAAGUAUUUAAAAUAUUUUUUAAUAAUUAAUAAAAUUUAAUGUCUUUAAAAUAAUAUAAUUAGAAAGUUAUAUAUAUAUAUAUAUAAAAUAUUUUUUACCAUUUGUAUUUUUCAACGCAGAAGAUGUUUGAAAAAAUAAAACCUUUUCUUUCCUCUUAAAUAAUAAUAAUAAAUCUUAUUUUAUUGUAUUUCAUUCUAAGUAGAGUGAGUAAUAAAAAAACAAAUACACUUCAAUAAAAAAAAUUACUUUAACUAUAUAAACAAAAAGAGACAAGAAAAAUACAUGAAUUGUCGAAUUAAUCAAGAGAUUUUUUGGUAUAAAUUUAAAUGAGGUUUCACAUAAUUUUUACAGUUGUGUUUGGAUUUCUCCCUAAUUAGAAUUUAAAUUUGAUAUUAAUUGAUUAGAUUUCGUAAAAAAUUUUAAUCAAUAUUUUUUUGUUAAAACAAUAUAAAAGAAACGAGAGUAUAAAAUUUAAAAAAUUUUAUUGUAAUAUUCAAAAGAUUAAAUUUCAAAUAGUUAAGAAAAGAGCAUUUAUAAUAAAAAAAACUUAACACGUAAACUUAUAAAAGUAAUUAAAAAAAUAAUUAAAAUGUAAAAUUCACUCUCUAAAUAGUGUAAUUUUCAGCUCGAAUUUUGUGAUUUCGUUAAAUAAUUAAAAAAAUAAUUAAAAUAUAAAAUUUACUCUCUAAAUGGUAUAAUUUUCGGCUCGAACUUGUGAUUUCGUUACACUUUUAAAAGUCGUAGCAUCUCAAAAUUUUUUUUUCGAAAAGUUACCUUGAGUCUUCGUUUAACGUCGACAAUAAAAAUUAGGUUUAGCUCAAAUUUGCCAUAAAAUUCAAAACUAAUUACUACAUGAAAUCUUGACUCUUUCCUUGCAGUAAUAAUAGUCCUUAAUCAAACUUCAGCCUAGAGAUGUCAUUGAAUUACGUUCAACUAUAUAUUUUCAAGCAACACUAUUUUCAUCACAGUACGUAAAUACUGAUGGAUGAAAAUAUUCAAAACUUGUGGAAACUCUAUGUGUCUGAUAUACCUUGUAAUUGAGUGUCUGAACUAUAUAGUAGGCUACAAGAUUCUGAUUAAGAUUGGGUGUAUCAUCAGGUUCUCGCUGUUUGGAUCCACAAUAUAAUGUUGAUUCAAAGCAAUAACGACUAUAAUUAAUUAAUUUACAUUUAUUUUGAGUUUUUAUAAUCUAAAUAGGACAAAAUCAAUGUUAAUUAUCAUAAAUUAGCCGGCUAUCAAUAAUUUUAAGUCUUGACAAGAAGCUAUAAUCCAAACAGAUCCUAAGACAACAUGAGACUUUAAGCCAACAAAUAUUUAAACAUGAUAGUUUGAGAGCAGAAGAUUCAUAGCUUAAACUGGCAAUGGCUCCAUUUCAUCUAUGGCUUACAUUGCUACUGCUUGGAUCAGUUUGUGCAUCUGCAGUGCAUCCUAGGAAAUUAAAAAGAUUUGGUGGGGUAAGAAGAUUCACAGCUACCAGUGAGCCUUCUUCUGAUCUCCCACCAGAAUAUGAAAUACAUUAUUACACACAAACACUCGAUCAUUUCAACUACUAUCCAGACAGUUAUGCUACGUUUCAGCACAGAUAUAUAUUGAAUUACAAGUACUGGGGUGGAGCUAAUACUAGCUCACCCAUCUUUGUUUACACUGGUGAAGAAGUUGAUGUAACUUACGAUGUUGAGACUUUUAUUAUUGAUCUUGCAGCUCGUUUUAAAGGUUUACUAUUGUACAUAGAGGUAAUUUUUCUCGUGUUGGAACCAGGUCUAGGAAAAUUUUCUCCUUUUCGACAUCUCGUGUAGUAAUUUUUCUGAUGCCUGAUUACUUGUUGCAGCAUCGCUACUAUGGAGAAUCAAUGCCUUUUGGAUCUGAAGAGCAGGCAUUUCAAAAUGCCAGUACUCUUGGAUACCUAAGCUCAGAACAAGCUUUAGCAGAUUAUGCACAGGUGAUUGUAGAUGUUAAGAAGAAUCUGUCAGCAGAAAAUUGCCCAGCUAUAGCAGUUGGAGCAUCUUACGGUGGAAGUAAGUUAAUUAAUUAGACUGAAAUUUUAUUUUUUGUUGGGAAAAUUCAAGAUUCAAGACUAAUCUUUUCUUGUUGUAAUUGAUGAUCAGUGCUUGCAUCCUGGUUUCGUCUAAAAUAUCCCCACAUUGUCAUUGGUGCUUUGGCAUCAUCCUCUCCCAUACUCUAUUUCGAUGAUAUUACACCACAAAAUGGGUACCAUGUUGUUGUCUCCAAGGAUUUUAGAGUAAGAAAUCUGUCAAGUAAUAUCGGAAAAUUUCAAGUUUCAGGUUUUUGUAACUUGCAGGAUCUAAAUAUCCUGUAUGUGUAUUGACUGGAGCAGGAUACGAGUGAGAGUUGUUACAACACAAUAAAACAAUCCUGGUCUGAGAUUGAUAGAAUAGCAGCUGAACCAAAUGGGCUAACGACACUUAGCAACAAGUUCAACGUUUGCAGGUAAUCAAUUAACAAGAUCGCCAAUCUCAUACUCUUGUAUGAUUAUAAUCUCUGAUAAAAUAAUGCUGUAUUGUUUUGUUCGACAAAAAAGCCCUUUGAACACCACGCAAGAGCUCAAGGACUACCUAGAAAUCAUGUACAUCAGUGCAGCUCAAUACGACAAUCCUCCAAAUUAUCCAGUAGAGAGUACCUGCAGUGGAAUUGAUGGAGCCCCAGAAGGAACUGAUAUUCUUGGAAGAAUUGCUGCAGGUCUCGCAAACAGAUUUCGUGGGUUCGUUUCAUGCAAUAAUGUGUUUACGUUUGAAAUUAGCAACAAGAGUGCAUGGGAUUGGCAGGUUUAUAUUUCUGACCACUUAUAAAUUCACUCCUCUCUUAGGGGUUUUUACCUUUUAGGUGUUAAAAAAAAGUAUUUAAGAAAGGAAUAAAAAAAAAAUAUUUAGGAAUAGAAAUUCUGAGACGGUUAGAUUAAAAAAAAAAAUCAAGGUCAGAAGCGUGGCAGGUCUUAUCUUGUCGUCUGGUAGUGAUUUCUUUGCCAGUCGACAAAACAUUCCAUUUUAUUUUUUUUCAAAGGCCUGUCAUGCUUUUAAAGCGCAGCAAGUGGAGGUCAUUGGACUACCAUGUUGGCAGUUAAAAGUCCUAUUUUCUAAAUGCUUUUUUCUGAACUUUCCUAAAUAUUGUAUUUUAACACUUAAAAUCUAUCCCCUGUGUUAUGUCUUAAACGCAUGAACUCU